UAUGUACUCCCUCGGUCCCGAAAUACUUGUCGGAGAAAUGGAUGUAUCUAGAUGUAUUUUAGUUCUAGAUACAUCCAUUUUUAUGCAUUUUUACGACAAUUAUUUCCGGACGGAGGGAGUAGUAA
rfam:Triticum aestivum genome assembly, contig: Triticum_aestivum_CS42_TGACv1_scaffold_223716_3B